AUUGAACGCUGGCGGCAUGCUUUACACAUGCAAGUCGAACGGCAGCGGGGGCUUCGGCCUGCCGGCGAGUGGCGAACGGGUGAGUAAUGCAUCGGAACGUACCCAGUUGUGGGGGAUAACUACUCGAAAGAGUAGCUAAUACCGCAUACGCCCUGAGGGAGAAAGCGGGGGAUCUUCGGACCUCGCGCGAUUGGAGCGGCCGAUGUCGGAUUAGCUAGUUGGUGGGGUAAAGGCCCACCAAGGCGACGAUCCGUAGCGGGUCUGAGAGGAUGAUCCGCCACACUGGGACUGAGACACGGCCCAGACUCCUACGGGAGGCAGCAGUGGGGAAUAUUGGACAAUGGGCGAAAGCCUGAUCCAGCCAUGCCGCGUGAGUGAUGAAGGCCUUAGGGUUGUAAUGCUCUUUUAGCAGGGAAGAUAAUGACGGUACCUGCAGAAUAAGCCCCGGCUAACUUCGUG
rnacentral:rRNA from 1 species